AUUCCCCUAACCCACUGAAGGCCCCUGAGAGGACACGGCCCACAAUAUGGCACUCUGGAGAAGGCCUGGCACGCCUUCUUCACUGCGGCUGAGCGGCUGAGCGAGCUGCACUUGGAAGUGAGGGAGAAGUUGCAUGGUCCAGACAGCGAGCGAGUGCGGACUUGGCAGCGCGGGGCUUUCCACCGGCCAGUGCUGGGGGGCUUUCGGGAAAGCCGGGCUGCAGAGGAUGGUUUCCGUAAGGCCCAGAAGCCCUGGCUAAAAAGGCUGAAGGAGGUUGAGGCGUCUAAGAAGAGCUACCACACAGCCCGCAAGGACGAGAAGACAGCCCAGACCCGGGAGAGCCACGCGAAGGCCGACAGCUCCAUGUCCCAGGAGCAGCUUCGAAAGUUACAGGAGCGGGUGGGACGCUGCACCAAGGAGGCAGAGAAGAUGAAAACCCAGUAUGAGCAGACCCUGGCAGAGCUAAAUCGCUAUACCCCACGCUACAUGGAGGACAUGGAGCAGGCCUUCGAGAGCUGCCAGGCUGCUGAGCGCCAGCGACUUCUCUUCUUCAAGGAUGUGUUGCUCACCUUGCAUCAACACCUCGACCUCUCCAGUAGUGACAAGUAUGGCCAGCACACUGGAUAGAGGCUUCCCUGACUUCCUCUGGGUUGGGCUGCAUGACUUGAAGGGGGCCUUGGCCUUCCCUGUCUGACUGAGUCCUCAUAGGUUCCAUGAGCUCCAUCGAGACCUGCAGCGGGGCAUCGAGGAUGCCAGCGAUGAAGAAGACCUGCGCUGGUGGCGCAGCACACAUGG
rnacentral:lncRNA from 1 species